CGACGAUUGAUAGGAAAAUAACCGGAGUGGCCAACCAGCGCAGUAAUAUUAUGUAGAUCAGACUUAUGGCGGCACUGAUACCAAGGAUCGAUGCAAUGGUCCAUCUAUAAAUGACAAAGUCAGCUACAGUCAUUGUAUAAUUGACAAACAGUUCGGGAAUUCCGUUUGGAAUACAACGACCAGUUACAGAAGUACUGGUCAGAUACCACUGAGCACACACGUCGUUUGAAACGGUGGUUCAUGGUCUGUUGGCAUUCAUAAAAUAAGGUAAAAACCUGUCCAGAACUCCAUGGCUUUUUCCUGGCAAUAGCUUAUUUGCUGUGCACCUAACUGCUCGAUCUUCGUGCAUCGUCUUGAUUGUCUCCUAAGGGGAAGGAGAAAGUUUCUUCUUUGCUUCGAACUGGUCUCUCAUAGUAGGAAGAUCAACCUCAGCAACUGCGGAUGGCUCAAGGGUGAUCAAUUCAGGUUGAAUUUUGUCCAGAAGUGCUUUCACUUCAGCCUCGCGGCGUUGGCUCUUUGUCUGGAAUGGAUUACUCUCAAGAGCAUCAAAAUUGGCUUCGGCACUCCCAGGAACAAGUAGAGAUUGAAAUCCUUUGGCUGUUGCGAUGCCCAACACAUCUU
rnacentral:lncRNA from 1 species